rnacentral:tRNA from 1 species
UUGGGUGUAGCUCAGUGGGAGAGUGUGUGUUUACUGUGCACGGGGUCCUGGGUUCCAUCCCAGCACCAGAA